rnacentral:lncRNA from 1 species
GCUGAGGUCUGAAGCAUCCAUUUGCUUCAGCUGAAACACUCAGAAGGAGUAGCAGAAAGAGGAAACAGGUCAUCGGGAGGCCAGCGCAGCUCCCCGCUCUCCACCUCGCCGGACUCAGUUGGCUCCACCACAAUCGAUGGCAGUCUCUUGGACAGCUUGGGGUACUUCUCACGUGAGUCUGGGAAAGCCUGGUGAGACAUGCGGGGACAUUCCUGUCAAAGCCUUGCCCAAGGAUGCGUAUUCAGAGCAAGUGUGGUGCAUGCUCCAUCUUAGCAUCCUUUCUGCACCAGAUGUGCACUACCAUCUACUAUGUCCAUCAAAAAGCCCUCUGAAUCUGAUGCAGAGUGACUUAU